GAUGAACGCUGGCGGCGUGCCUAAUACAUGCAAGUCGAGCGAAUGGAUUAAGAGCUUGCUCUUAUGAAGUUAGCGGCGGACGGGUGAGUAACACGUGGGUAACCUGCCCAUAAGACUGGGAUAACUCCGGGAAACCGGGGCUAAUACCGGAUAACAUUUUGAACCACAUGGUUCGAAAUUGAAAGGCGGCUUCGGCUGUCACUUAUGGAUGGACCCGCGUCGCAUUAGCUAGUUGGUGAGGUAACGGCUCACCAAGGCAACGAUGCGUAGCCGACCUGAGAGGGUGGUCGGCCACACUGGGACUGAGAAACGGCCCAGACUCCUACGGGAGGCAGCAGUAGGGAAUCUUCCGCAAUGGACGAAAGUCUGACGGAGCAACGCCGCGUGAGUGAUGAAGGCUUUCGGGUCGUAAAACUCUGUUGUUAGGGAAGAACAAGUGCUAGUUGAAUAAGCUGGCACCUUGACGGUACCUAACCAGAAAGCCACGGCUAACUACGUGCCAGCCGCCGCCGUAA
rnacentral:rRNA from 1 species